UACAGAGGGUGCUAGCGUUAAUCGGAUUUACUGGGCGUAAAGCGUGUGUAGGCGGUUCGUUAAGUCGGGUGUGAAAUCCCUGGGCUCAACCCGGGAAUUGCAUUCGAUACUGGCGAGCUAGAGUACGGUAGAGGGCGGCGGAAUUCCUGGUGUAGCGGUGAAAUGCGCAGAUAUCAGGAGGAACACCGAUGGCGAAGGCAGCUCGCUGGGACGGUACUGACGCUGAGGCGCGAAAGCGUGGGGAGCAAACAGG
rnacentral:rRNA from 1 species